AAUGCUCUUCACUUUUUGUAUGUCUCUCUUAUGAUGCCCUUGGUUUAGUUCAUGGAUCUCUCUCCUAAUGAGCUGAUGAUCUGAAUCAGGUGUGUUAUGAAGUAUAUGGAUAAUAUACAAAAUGUGCGAAGCAGUGGUACCCCAGGACUAGAAUUGAGGACUCCUCCCCUAGGGCAUUGGUCCCCAACCCUGUUCCUGGAUCCCACAACAUGUCAUCAUGAUUUGUGUCAUGUCUGAUUCAUGUCAUAAACUCAGUUUUAGACACUAGAAGACCUGCCAUGGGUGUGCCAGACAAAAGAGACAUAUAAAAUGUGUAGUGUUGUGGGGCUUCAGGAACAUUGUUGGGAGCCACUGCAUGAAAGUGUUGAGUCCACCCUUCAUCCCUGUCAUGAUGUGAAAAGCACAAAAAUCUUGGGUCGGCUGCACUGCCAAGCGGAUGUUUGCAGUGGUGGAUGGGAAUCAUAGCGAUUUGAUCGCCUUCUUGGAGUACUUGUGGUCCAAGAUCAACUGGACAAAGACGAGAGUGAAGUGGACCCUAAGAGGGGCAACCAGACGAUGAACACCACUUGAGGAGAAAAGCAAUUGUUGCUUUUGUCUUUCUGAUGUCUGUUGACUGUUUCGGCUCUCAUUCUGACGGCACCCAUUUACUGCAGAGGAUCCACUGCCUCCUGGAAGAUCAAAGCCUGGUCCGACUGUACUUUCCAACCCAACAGGACAAUCAACAAUCUCCGUCUAUUAUGACAGACUUUGUUCUAUUUUGUAUAGAUGCCUAUGAUGCUUUGCAAAAUGUAUCUGCCGCAUCUGAAACCUGGAGUCUGAGAGAGAAAAAAAGGGAUUGUAGGGUAAGACCACAGUGAAGAUUAAAAGCUGAAGCCAACAUCUGUUGAUUCGAAAUACGGACAAAGAAGACACUUGACGCUUGGCAACCGCAAUGAUGAGGCCAAAUGACAUUUCUAAUGAUUGUGCACUUCAAAGUGCUUCCUCUGAGAACAGGGAGCAUGACUGCAGAGGAAACUCAAGUAAAGUAUAUGUCAGACAUCUCUAUUUCAAUUGAUAUAUAAGAAUUGUGGGAUUUCACCAAAGGAAUCCAAAUUUUUCACUAGAUUAUCUGAUGUAGUAAACUUUGCCUUUUAUCAUGGACAUUUUAUGGUUUUAAUUAGUAAUCAAGAACCGAGUAAUGCUUAUUAGCGGUGUUGGCUAAGGCUAGCUACUGCUAUUACACAUACUUAAGGAUAAAGAUGGC
ensembl:lncRNA